rnacentral:rRNA from 1 species
CCUACGGGUGGCAGCAGUGAGGAAUAUUGGUCCAUGGGCGAGAGCCUGAACCAGCCAAGUCGCGUGAAGGAUGAAGGUUCUAUGGUUUGUAAACUUCUUUUAUCUGGGAAUAAAGUGAGGAACGCGUUCCUUGUUGUAUGUACCAUAUGAAUAAGCAUCGGCUAACUCCGUGCCAGCAGCCGCGGUAAUACGGAGGAUGCGAGCGUUAUCCGGAUUUAUUGGGUUUAAAUGGUGCGCAGGCGGACUGUCAAGUCAGCGGUAAAAGUUCGGGGCUCAACCCCGUCGUGCCGUUGAAACUGGCGUUCUUGAGUGAGCGAGAAGUAUGCGGAAUGCGGGGUGUAGCGGUGAAAUGCAUAGAUAUCACGCAGAACUCAGAUUGCGAAGGCAGCAUGCCGGCGCCAAACUGACGCUCAGGCACGAAAGCGUGGGUAUCGAACAGGAUUAGAUACCCUUGUAGUC